ACCACUACUCUUAUUGUUUCCUUACUUACUUGAUUAAAUGGAACGUGUAUCAUUUCCUAGCCAUUAUACGGAUAUAUUUAUUAUAUCUUAUGGUAUUGGGUUUUGAUGCAAGCUUCUUGAUCAAAGUAUCACGAGUUUGUUAUAUAAUCGCAAACAAAUUCUUUAAUAAAACGAUGCAUUUAUGUAUUUUUGAUUUGAAAAUUUGGUAUAACUCCAAUUACUCAGGUAUGAUCCAAUUCAAGGACAUUGCCAGGUAGGGAGUUUGACUGGGGCGGUACAUCUCUCAAAUAAUAACGGAGGUGUCCCAAGGCCAGCUCAGUGCGGACAGAAACCACACAUAGAGCAAAAGGGCAAAUGCUGACUUGAUCUCGGUGUUCAGUACACACAGGGACAGCAAAAGCUCGGCCUAUCGAUCCUUUUGGUUUAAAGAGUUUUUAACAAGAGGUGUCAGAAAAGUUACCAUAGGGAUAACUGGCUUGUGGCGGCCAAGCGUUCAUAGCGACGUCGCUUUUUGAUCCUUCGAUGUCGGCUCUUCCUAUCAUUGUGAAGCAAAAUUCACCAAGCGUUGGAUUGUUCACCCAUGCAAGGGAACGUGAGCUGGGUUUAGACCGUCGUGAGACAGGUUAGUUUUACCCUACUAAUGACAAAACGUUGUUGCGACAGCAUUCCUGCGUAGUACGAGAGGAACCGCAGGUACGGACCAAUGGCACAAUACUUGUUCGAGCGAACAGUGGUAUGACGCUACGUCCGUUGGAUUAUGCCUGAACGCCUCUAAGGUCGUAUCCGUGCUGGACUGCAAUGAUAAAUAAGGGGCAAUUUGCAUUGUAUGGCUUCUAAACCAUUUAAAGUUUAUAAUUUAUUUUAUAAACGACAAUGGAUGUGAUGCCAAUGUAAUUUGUAACAUAGUAAAUUAGGAGGAUCUUCGAUCACCUGAUGCCGCGCUAGUUACAUAUAAAAGCAUUAUUUAAUACAAUGACAAAGCCUAGAAUCAAUUGUAAACGACUUUUGUAACAGGCAAGGUGUUGUAAGUGGUUGAGCAGCUGCCAUACUGCGAUCCACUGAAGCUUAUCCUUUGCUUGAUGAUUCGA
rnacentral:ncRNA from 1 species